ACCAGAUGCAGAGCCCAGGGUAAAGGACACCGUGGUGACUAUUGCAGAGUCUGAGAAAUAAUGAUAUUCAUGUACAUCUUUCAGAAUCUGAGAAGCAUGCGAUAAACCAGGCCUGUAUCUAAAAUGAUCUAUGCUACCUUCAUACUUAAGUAAUUUUGAUAUACAGUUAUAUACUCAAUCAUUUUCCCUU
rnacentral:lncRNA from 1 species